AGAGUAAGAAAGUGAAGACCAGAAAAAUGAAAGGAUUUACAAGAAACGUAGAGCUGGUUGUGAGUGAAGCUGACUUGUGCAACCAGUUUACCCUCUGGGAUUUCUUCCCCGUUGAUGAUAUGCAGUACCACCCGAAUGAGUCACAUUUCAUAAAAUGUAACAUCUGUGCGAGAGUGUUAUAAACAUGACAGUGCCCAAAACAGCUGUGGAACUUUGGAAGAAACAGAAUCUCUCCUUACAGCUAGUUCUGCAUAGUUCGGUUUGCAGAAGAGUAAAAGGCCAGGAUCUCAGGACUUGAAAUCCCACCAGUCUCCACCCUGGAAAGCUUCCACCUGAGAAGUUCCACCCCACUGCCCAAGAUACUCUACAUCAGUCCUGUAUCCUGUUCAGUGUUCUGCUGUUUCUCACCUGAGCAGAGGCAGCUGUUUCUCC